rnacentral:rRNA from 1 species
UACGAAGGGGGCUAGCGUUGUUCGGAAUUACUGGGCGUAAAGGGCGCGUAGGCGGCCUGCUAAGUCACACGUGAAAUCCCUCGGCUCAACCGGGGAACUGCGUGUGAUACUGGCGGGCUUGAAUCCGGGAGAGGGAUGCGGAAUUCCAGGUGUAGCGGUGGAAAUGCGUAGAUAUCUGGAGGAACACCGGUGGCGAAGGCGGCUCACUGGCCCGAUACUGACCGCUGAGGCACGAAAGCGUGGGGAGCAAACAGGG